GGCGAACGGGUGAGUAACACGUGACCAACCUGCCUCUUACAUUGGGACAACCAAAGAAAUUCUGGCUAAUACCAAAUACUCCGCACAUAUCACAUGAUGUAUGCGGGAAAGCUUUUGCGGUAAGAGAUGGGGUCGCGGCCCAUUAGGUAGACGGCGGGGUAGAAGCCCACCGUGCCGAUGAUGGGUAGCCGGGUUGAGAGACCGACCGGCCACAUUGGGACUGAGAUACGGCCCAGACUCCUACGGGAGGCAGCAGAG
rnacentral:rRNA from 1 species